rnacentral:rRNA from 1 species
CCUACGGGAGGCAGCAGUGGGGAAUCUUGCGCAAUGGGCGAAAGCCUGACGCAGCAACGCCGCGUGCGGGAUGAAGGCCUUCGGGUUGUAAACCGCUUUUACCAGGAAGGAAAAUGACAGUACCUGGAGAAUAAGGUGCGGCCAACUACGUGCCAGCAGCCGCGGUGACACGUAGGCACCAAGCGUUGUCCGGAUUUAUUGGGCGUAAAGAGCUCGUAGGCGGUUCAGUAAGUCGGGUGUGAAAACUCUGGGCUCAACUCAGAGACGCCACCCGAUACUGCUGUGACUUGAGUCCGGUAGGGGAGUGGGGAAUUCCUGGUGUAGCGGUGAAAUGCGCAGAUAUCAGGAGGAACACCAAUGGCGAAGGCACCACUCUGGGCCGAGACUGACGCUGAGGAGCGAAAGCGUGGGUAGCAAACAGGAUUAGAUACCCUGGUGGUCCACGCCGUAAACGGUGGGCACUAGGUGUGGGUUCCAACCAACGGAAUCCGCGCCGGCGCUAACGCAUUAAGUGCCCCGCCUGGGGAGUACGGCCGCAAGGUUAAAACUCAAAGGAAUUGACGG